CACAGACAACCAGGAUGUUGGCUUAGAAGCAGCCACUCAUUCAAAGAGUGCGUAAUAGCUCACUGGUCGAGUGAUCCUGCGCCGAAGAUUUCCGGGGCUAAAACUUACUACCGAAGCUACGGCAUCAGUAAUGAUGGGUAGGGGAGCUUCCCAUACGGGUUGAAGCAUGACCGUAAGGACAUGUGGACAGUAUGGGAGUGAGAAUGUUGGCAUGAGUAGCGAGAUGUGGGUGAGAAUCCCACAGGCCGUAAACCCAAGGUUUCCAGGGGAAGGUUCGUCCGCCCUGGGUUAGUCGGGACCUAAGCUGAGGCCGAAAGGCGUAGGUGAUGGACAACAGGUUGAUAUUCCUGUACUACCGAUAACCGUUUGAGAGAAGGGAUGACACAGUAGGAUAAGCUAAGCACACUGUUGGUUAUGUGUGCCCAAGCAUUGAGGCAGUCAAAGUAGGCAAAUCCGCUUUGAUAAUGCUGGGAUGUGAUGGGGAGCGAAAUUUAGUAGCGAAGUAGCUGAUUUCACACUGUCAAGAAAAGUCUCUAUCGAGGUUAAAGGUACCCGUACCGCAAACCGACACAGGUGGGUGAGGAGAGUAUCCUAAGGCCAGCGAGAGAACUGUUGUUAAGGAACUCGGCAAAAUGACCCCGUAACUUAGGGAUAAGGGGUGCCACCAUCCGGUGGCCGCAGAGAAUAGGCCCAAGCGACUGUUUACCAAAAACAUAGGUUUCUGCUAAGUCGCAAGACGAUGUAUAGGAGCUGACGCCUGCCCGGUGCUGGAAGGUUAAGGGGAUCUGUUAGAGUAAUCGAAGCAGUGAACUUAAGCCCCAGUAAACGGCGGCCGUAACUAUAACGGUCCUAAGGUAGCGAAAUUCCUUGUCGGGUAAGUUCCGACCCGCACGAAAGGCGUAACGAUUUGGGCACUGUCUCA
rnacentral:rRNA from 1 species